rnacentral:rRNA from 1 species
UACGUAGGGCGCAAGCGUUGUCCGGAAUUAUUGGGCGUAAAGAGCUCGUAGGCGGCCUGUUGCGUCCGCUGUGAAAUCCCCGGGGGCUCAACCCCGGGCCUGCAGUGGAUACGGGCUGGCUAGAGGCAGGCAGGGGAGAACGGAAUUCCUGGUGUAGCGGUGAAAUGCGCAGAUAUCAGGAGGAACACCGGUGGCGAAGGCGGUUCUCUGGGCCUGUACUGACGCUGAGGAGCGAAAGCGUGGGGAGCGAACAGG